CCCUUAGAUGUCCUGGGCUGCACGCGCGCUACACUGGAAGUUACGGAUUGUGAUACUACCUUGUCCGAAAUGGUCCGGGUAAUCACCUAAAAGCUUGUCAUAAUUGGAAUGGAUUAUUGUAACUAGUAAUCCUGAACGAGGAAUUCCUAGUAAGUCCCAGUCAACAGCUGGUACUGAUUACGUCCCUGCCCUUUGUACACACCGCCCGUCGCUACUACUGAUUGGACGUUUAAGCAAGAUUUUUAAACACUGACAGUGUGUAGUUCACGCUAUACUACAGUGAGAAGAAGAAGAUCGAGCUUACUUGUCUAGAGGAAGUAAAAGUCGUAACA
rnacentral:rRNA from 1 species